CAGUGGCGGCGCCAGGCUUCCAAAUUUGGGGGGGCAUUUGAGGGGCAAACUCGAAUUUUGGGGGGGCAAGAUAGAAUUUUUAAAAAGGUCGCCCCCCUAGGAAAUUCGCCCCCCCCCCUCAAAACGUGGCGAUAUUCCUAGGAAUAUCGCCUCCCAGGGGGGUGGGGCGAAUACCCUAGGAAUAUCGCCCCUCUUUAGGACAUUCGCCCCCCUUAUAUGCGAUGUGGUUUAUUCAAAUAAUUUCGUGAUACUCUGCAAAACUAAAGCUUUUUUGUCUUUUUUUGAAACGUAUUAUUGGAGUAGUGGCAAGUUUUACCAUUCAGAGAUUUACAAACUAAUAUUGAAACUGUAAAAAACAGUUUCAUGUAUACGCGCAUUCACUAAUGAGUAAUGACAACUUAUAAGCCAUACAUUUUCCGAUAACGACAGAACGCUUGUGUAGCCUUUAGUCGCUCUUAGUGACUAAUAAUUUUUUUUGAGGGGGGGCAAAAUGGGGGGGCAAAAAAUAAUUCUGGGGGGGCAUUUGCCCCCCCCUUGCCCCCCCCUGGCGCCGCCACUG